UACAGAGGGUGCAAGCGUUAAUCGGAGUUACUGGGCGUAAAGGGCGCGUAGGCGGAUUAUUAAGUUGGAUGUAAAAUCCCUGGGCUUAACCUAGGACUGUCAUCCGAAACUGGUAAUCUGGAGUACUGUAGAGGGUAGUGGAAUUUCCGGUGUAGCGGUGAAAUGCGUAGAGAUCGGAAGGAACACCAGUGGCGAAGGCGGCUACCUGGACAGAUACUGACGCUGAGGCGCGAAAGCGUGGGGAGCAAACAGG
rnacentral:rRNA from 1 species